rnacentral:rRNA from 1 species
AAACUCCUCACUCCGUACUAAGCAAUACUAUACCUCUAUAGAAAAUUUUAUGUUAAAACUAGUAACAAGAAGACAGACCUUCUCUUAAAUGUAAACGUAAAUCAUAAGGACAAACCACUGAUAUUUAACGCUCAAGAACCAGAAGUAAUAACCAACCAAGAAAACUUUACUUUAAUUAACGUUAACCUAACACAAGAGCAUUUCAAGAAAGAUUAAAAGAAAAAGAAGGAACUCGGCAAACUUUAACCUCGCCUGUUUACCAAAAACAUCACCUCUUGAUAAUAAUGAGAGGCCCAGCCUGCCCAGUGACCCAGUUCAACGGCCGCGGUAUCCUAACCGUGCGAAGGUAGCGUAAUCACUUGUUCUUUAAAUAAGGACUAGUAUGAACGGCAUCACGAGGGUUAUGCUGUCUCCUUUUUCCGAUCAGUGAAACUAAUUUCCCCGUGAAGAAGCGGGGAUAAAAUUAUAAGACGAGAAGACCCUAUGGAGCUUCAAACAACACAACAAAUGCCAAACAACUUAAAAAUUUCAUAACUCCAAAUUUACUCAGCAUUAUGAUUGUUAGUUUUAGGUUGGGGUGACCGCGGAGCAAAACACAACCUCCACAUUGAAAGAAUUUUAUUCUAAGCCAAGAACCACAACUCAAAGCAUCUAUAUAUUGACAUUAAUUGACCCAAUAAACUUGAACAACGAACCAAGUUACCCUAGGGAUAACAGCGCAAUCUACUUCAAGAGCCCCUAUCGACAAGUAGGUUUACGACCUCGAUGUUGGAUCAGGGUCUCCAAGUGGUGCAGCCGCUACUAAAGGUUCGUUUGUUCAACGAUUAAUACCCUA